rnacentral:rRNA from 1 species
UGAUAGUGCAGCACUAAGUGGGUGGUAAACUCCAUCUAAAACUAAAUAUAACCAUGAGACCGAUAGUAAACAAGUACCGUGAGGGAAAGUUGAAAAGAACUCUGAAUAGAGAGUUAAAUAGUACGUGAAACUGCUUAGAGGUUAAGCCCGAUGAACCUGAAUAUCAAUUAUAGAAAAUUCAUCAAUAUGAUUAAAAAAUAUAAAAAAAAUUUUUAAUAAUGGCGUGCAUUUUUUCUAUAAAAUGACAUUGUAAUCUAUUAACAUAUUAAUAAAAUUUAUCAAAAGGUCAAGUAUGCGUAAGUUUAUUCAAAUUAUUUUGCUUGCAAUUUAACAUAGAAUAAAUGCUCUUGACUAGAUAAAAUGUUGAUAGAUAUAUUUAUAUAUGGUGCUCAAAUAUAUAUACAUUAUUUUAUAAUAGCAUAUUAAUAAUUUAUUUUUAUGUUUAUUAUAUGCACUAAUAUGAUUAACAAUGCGAAAGAUUCAGGAUACCUUCGGGACCCGUCU